rnacentral:lncRNA from 1 species
GCACCUGUGGUACAUGGAGGUUCCCAGGCUAGGGGUCUAAUUGGAGCUGUAGCUGCUGGUUUAUACCAGAGCCACAGCAACACAGGAUCCGAGCCACGUCUGCGACCUACACCACAGCUCACGGCAACGCCAGAUCCUUAACCCACUGAGCAAGGCCAGGGAUCGAACCUGUAACCUCAUGGUUCCUAGGAGGUGAAGGGCUUGUUAAGGUCCCCCAACUAGAGGGGGGAGCCGGCUGCCCAGAUAUCACACUGUGGCUGUCCAGAACCUGCCUCAUCUGACAGACAGGCAGGACACUUUAGUCAAGCCACACACAUCUCCCUGCUCUUUCUUCGUCCACAUGGCAACACCCAGAGAUGUACAGAGCCACACGUGCGCUGGUGGAGGGAGAUGCCUAAUUCCCAGAAGCCAGGCUCCUUCCGGGCCCACCGUUCUAGAGAAGAGGCAAUGCUGAGAGCUGGACUUUGUCCAGGCAGAGAAGGCUUUAUUUCUGAAGAUUCUAGCCUCUUCUGCCAUCACAGGCUCUGUGCCUCUGAACCCAGAAUAACUGAAGCUCUGCCCCUCCAGACAGAGCAAUGCCUUAUUUCUCCAGGUCUCCUAGGCCCUUCUGGCUGCAGAAAUCCUGCUUGGAGACUCCCAGAGAAGGCAGACCAAAUGUGAUCUAAUGAUCAAACAGAGGAGAAUAGAAAGUAAAGGCCCAGAGCCCCAGAGGAGAAGGAACUAAGGUUAAUUCUGGGCCCUCCUCCUAGUAUAUUAUUCCCAUUUGUUACCCACGAUCUUAUACUGUUAUUUUAAGAAUAUACUAGUCCUAUCUUCCAAAUCAUACUGUAAACUUCUUAAUGGAGGCCCCAGCGUAGGACCAGUACAUGCACUUGUGCAGUGCACAACCUGUACAACCAUUCACAGCCCAUGACGUCUCACCAUCCAUUGCAUGUCAUUUAUCAUCACUGUAAGUAAAGAAUUAACUGUCUCAUUACUUAUCCUUUCCUCACAGGAUAUAAAUUCUCAGGGAAGGACCAGGCCCUGUUUGUCUUGCUCCCAGGCUGAAGCCCAGCCCCUAGUAUACUAUUAAGACAGAAUGAGCCCUCCAUAAAUAUGUGCUGGAGCAAUAAAGUCAUUCAGUCACUCACUCAUGCAUUUAAUUGGAAGGAGAGGGGACCCGCCCUGGAGCUGAAGGUGAGGGAUCUGUGUCCUGCUUCCCGCUCUACUGGUAGCUCGCUCCCCAGGUGCCCUGGAGAAAGGCACCCCACCCUUGAGGCCUCAGUCUCCUAGUCUACCAAGGGAGUGGGGGGGGACCUCCCAGUGCCUUUGCGUGAUGCUGAAGGGAGGACCCCCUGAAAUGCCGCCCCUUGGGCAUCUCACUCGCCUCCCCCCAGCCGGAUCCUAGGCUCGCCCAGGUCGAGGCAUACAGGAAUGCCCAGUAAAGAAGGGCUCCAGGCAGGAUGGUGACAAAUGCUGCAGUGGGAACAGGAGCGAUCACAGCAGGAUUCAGCUCUGGGAGAGAAAGCAACACGGACAGCCUCGUUUUCUGGGACAGCCUUGCUGUCAAAGGCUUUCACGCCACCUGUUUACCUCCAGCCUGCCCGCAAGGAAGAGGGAAGUGACCUACCCAGGGCCAGAGUUAUCCAGUGCCACGGCCAGGACAGAAUCCCAGGCACCCCAUGUUCAAGUCCAGGCCCUUUCAGCACGUGGCACCAAGCGCGGCUUCUGCAGGUCAGGGGCGCAUCUGAUUUCCAAUGGGAGAAGUCACUCAUUCCUCACCUAGCUUCUGGCGGUGUCUGGCCUGUGGCUGGUGGGGAUGGGUGUGGGCAGAGGGGCAGCAGCCACGCAAGGUCCCGCGAGGGACAUACCCCAGGGGAGGCACCAAACGUCAGAGGAAGGAGAAGUUGCUUGGAGGGGGCAGGAGAGGGGGACUUGAGGAGCCGGAGGGCUUACGGAGGGACAUGGGAGUGGCAUUCCAGACCUCGGAGAUGGGCACCUGUGCAGGCUGCCUGCCGGAGACCCCGCCCGGGGUCUGAAGAGCUGGGAGCUUAAAGAGGGAGCAUCGCCUUCCCCCGGGAGAGCAGCUUUCCUGUCUGAGGACCUCUCCCCGUGAUGGCCUUGGCCUCCCUGGUGACCGCCUGCUGCCGCUGUAACCCAUGACCAGCUCUGUGGCUUAAAAUGACACACAUCUGUUCUCUCACAGUGCGGGGGGUGAGAAAUCCUCAAUAGGUCAUUGGGCUGCAAAUCAAGGUGCUUUGGCUGGGAGACUCGGGGGAGAAUCCAUUCCUCACCCUUUCCAGUUCCUGGGGCCGCCUGCAUUCCUGCGCUCACAGCCCCCGCCGCCACCCUCGAAGCCACCGCCCGGCGGCCGAGUCUCCCUCAGAUCACACGCUGACACUGCGUCUCCCGCUUCCCUCCCGCACUGCAAGGCCCUUGCGAUUGCCCUGCAUGGGCUCGAGUGGACAAACCAGGAUAAUCUCCCCAUUUUAUUUUAUUUAGGGCCACGCCUAAAAAUGUUCCCAGGAAGGAGUUCCCAGGCUAGGGGUCCAAUGGGAGCUGCAGCCGCAGGCCUGCGCCACAGUCACAGCCACGGAGGAUCCGAGCCGCAUCUGCGACCCACAGCACAGCUCACACCAACGCCAGGUCCUUAACCCACGGAGCGAGGCCAGGGAUGGAACCCACAUCCUCAUGGAUCCUAGUUGGGUUCGUCACCGCUGAGCCACAACGGGAAGUCGAAUCUGCCUCUUUUAAAGCCAGCUGGUCAGCGACCACAAUUCCACCUGCAACCUUAAUUCCUCUUGGCCACGUAGCGUAAUGUCUUCACGGGUUCUAGGAAUGAGGAUGUGGCCAUCUUUCGAAGGCCAUUAUUCUGCCCACCCGCUGGCCACGCUGCCUGGAACACUUCUCCCCCCAGACAGAGCUCCAGGAGAAAGGCAGCCCAGGCAGAGAGAAGGAGACGGGGUGGGGCGUGUGGGGAGCGCGAGGCCAGGAGACACACAUUCACCCUCUCUGCCAGCAGCAGCAGCGGCAGCUUCCUGGCUGGCUGCUUAGGGCACAUCACCCUUGAAAAACUCGUCAUGUUUCCACACUGAGCCCGGCACGUGCAGUUUCCACAGUGACUGCAGGAGCAGGAGUAGAGCCCAAAAUAGCCGCACUGAGACGGCAAACAUUCCCGGCUCGGUGCUGCUCGCUCGCUCUUGCAUUCGCCGCCCCAGCCCUGUGGCACGGCGGGCAUGGGGGGUUCCAGCGAGUCCCUGCAAUGUCCCAACCUUUCCUCCUCUGCCCUCUUGCCACCAGCACUGGGAGCCACCAGGUACCCCCUUGGACUUGAAGCCCACGAUGCUCUGAUUUUGCCCAUCCUGAGGCCUCUGGGCUGUGAGCGGGCCCUGUGUUUCGGUAGCCCGGCCCACAGCAAGAAGCGGCCAGGGACCCCUCCCUCCAGCCCAGCUGUUCCCUGCCCGCCUCUGCUGGGGCGAGCCCUGCCCGCCUGCUCCCAGUUCCUGCGCUGGGACGCCCAUCUGGGAAGCCCCCGUCCAAACCCUUCCCCUCACCCCCCAGGGAGCUUCCCUCGUAGAAGAUCUCAACUGCAGGGGCUGGAAAAUGGGCUGAAAUCUACAAACCUACAAGGUCUGGGCCUCCCCAUCCCUACCACUCCCUCGGACAACACCGUGUCUCCAGGGUCCUGGCAAACCCCCACUGGGACUGCUAAUUUCUCCUGUUCAAAGUCCCACCCCGUCAAAGGAAAACGAGAGCCACCAUCCCGACCACGUGCGAGGCGCCGUGCUAAGCACUUGGCACGCACAGCUCAUUUCACCCCUCAACUGCCACUGUCCCCACUGCGCAGAGAGGAGACUGAGACUCAGAGAAGGGGACACACGCAGAAAGUGGUAGGGCCCCCACUGAAGCCCAGCGUGCCAGACCCCGAAGCAAGGCUGUGCCCGCCCUGGCCCCGCCAGGUCGGGAGGGUGUGUGGAAAAGCCACACAUGACCGACGCGAGCACCGAGUGAGAUGUCCAGACUGCCUCCCGGCAGGCUCAGCACCAGUCCCGGCACCUCUGGUUUUGUCUCUUUGUACCUAUUGUGAUUCUGCGUAAGAUUUUAUUGGGGCCACAAAGAAGUAAGGAGUGGGAGAGGGCCUACUGGUGAAAAAGUUUGGCAACCCCUGUAGCCAACCCUAGCCUGUCCUGAUGACAAGGCCCGUCUCAGGAACAGACGGGACGUGCCCAGCAGCAGGGCAGGCCCCUGUGCUGAAGCCAGGGAGCCGCGCUCCUUCCUCCUGGUCCUCAGGGAACACCCCCGUAUCCUCCACCAAGCCCUCGGCUCCCUCGGCCCAGAAUUGAGAAGCAGAUGCGGUGCCGGUCCUGGCCUGGCCUCGGCUCUUACAGGGCUGCAGACCUGAGCACUGGCAGUGAGUGAGCACGUGGUCUCCGUUCUCCCGUCUCUGCAGCGCGGGCGUGUGUGGACACACCAGGGCAGGCGCAGGCCUGCUGGGAAUCCAUCGUGACUGCGACCAACAGCGCUCAGCCCUGCGCCCCUGGACCAGACGCUGCUCGAGCCCUACGCUUAGAACCCAAAGCCUCGAGCCAGCCCCAGACUUGCACCCUUGCCACCGCAGAUCCUGAGGCACCUGCUUCUCUGAGUCUUACUCCUGGGGAGCAAAAAGUCUCCGGAAGGGGUCAGCAUGAGUUUGAAACGAGGUGCCAUGUGGAAGGGCUGGAGGCACAAGCGUAAGCCUCCGCCCGGGAAUCCAGACUGAUGCUACGGCGGAGGGGGGGGCAGGACCCAGGAACAGGCAUUCCCCACACCCUCCAUCCCACCGCAAUUCCACGGCAGACCGUCCGCAGGCCACACUUUGCGAGAUCACGCUAGAAAGCGCUCCAGGUGUGUUUGCAAAAGCGGCGAAUCCCUGAACAUCUGUUGAGCUGCCCAUGGCUGCUGGAAGACACGGGCUGGAGGAAACAAGUAAUUUUCCCCAAAUACACUUCCUGCGAAGCCCAAAUGAUGGGAAUCGGGUUGAGGCUUCUAGGACUAGGAGAUGAUGCAAUACCAGCUCCGUUCCCCCAGGAACAGACAGGAGAGCUUCCUGUCAGACAGGGAGAGACCUGGCUGGAGGGUCGCGCCUGGGGGCUCAGGGUCAAACACAGGAAGGGGUGUUCCAGGGAGCCCCCCGGGGACUGACUCCAGACCCUGUCUCUUGAGCAUCUUCAUACAGACAGGAGAGAAAGAACUGAAAAUACGCUCAUUAAAUCUGCAUCUGGCACCCAAUUUGGCAGGGUUGCCAAAAUUCUGUAAGACUAGAAUUAAAUUAGCAAAUUGGAAGUAAAGUGAUUUUAAGCAGACACGAUGGAAUUCAUCAGAGCCAGGUGGAAGCUGGUGGGGGAAGGGACCCAGGGAAGCCCACACGCCCCGGGGUGGGAAAGCCUGGCCCGGAGCGGAAACAGGACAGAGACAAGCCAGUGAGCAGAGCUCACUCAAACGAUAAGAUUCACCCUGGGAAGGUGUGGUGACAAAGCCGGCCUGCAGCGGUGAGGCGGGGAGAGGCUCCUUCCCGGAGACAGGAGCUGUAGCUGGCAUCCACAGGGCAAGGAUGGCAGCUUUUUCAAGGGGACCAAGAAGGAAGGACGGGGGGGACUGCUGGACAAUGAGACAGGGUGGGUUCCCCAGCCCCGGGCCCCGCGAGGGCAGGCCCUGGGGUGGCGCCCACCGCACUCAGGGUCCGAGCCGUGAUUACCAUUGCGUGUUUAUUGAGCUCGUGGUCUGGGGAAAGCACGGGGAAGGACUCAGAGGGGUGGGGGUGGCACAGAGUCUGUGGAGGGAGGGCCGAGAGGACAGACACACUUACUGGGCACUUAUCAGCAUCAGGUACGGUGUCAGAUGCUUGCCAAGCAUGAGCUCAUUUCAUCUCAAUGAUCCUGUGCUAUAAAGAUUGGUCUUUGCUCUUCAUUUUCUUGGGCUUUCUUUGUCCUUUGUUUGAAAAUACGUUUUUUAAAAUACGCAAGUGUCUGAAGUAGAAGGUGGCGUGGUCCUGCUCACCCUCUGAUGCCUGCUCCCCAGAUGAAAACUACCCCUGAGAGUCCCGGCAUGUUCCCACGAGCACGGAAACAUCGACGCGUGCCCACGCUCAUCAGCACCACUUGUCUCUGCAUAAAGACGGGCUCAGAUUCCACGGAUGGCACAGGGACUCCUUCCCAGUUAAGAAGGUGUGGCAAAUGUGCUCCCAGGUCAGGACCUACACAUUCACUUCUUUCUAAGCAGUCCACGGUCCAAAUUCACCGGAAUUUUCCUAAGCAUUGCCGACUGGGGGACACUCAAGUCACCUCCCAGUUUUCCUUCCCGCAAACAAUGCUCCAAGGGAACACUCUUUGAUACACUACAUAGUCGCCAGCUGUG